GCACAAAUCCAAAGUCCAAAAACCAGGCAGCACAGCUGAGCGGAAGGCUAAAGAUCAACACUGGCAGCAACAGGUAAACGAACGGACAGCUGGACAGCUGGACAGCUGGACAGCUAGACAGAAACAACAGACUGGUGUGGCACAUACGACAAGGACCCGACGAGGAACAAGGAACACAGGUUUGCCCAACGUGAAUCUUUUGGCGAUGCCGACACCUAUGAACGGUGUGAUGUAAACAAGGCACAAAGGCAGAGGAGAAACGCCAAAGGCAGCGCCGUCAAAGCCUGAUCCUCGCCUUCUGCUGAUUUUGACAUCAAACUGUGAGAAAUCUGUUUAGGACAUUUCGCAUCUUUCUCACACCACCUUAUCGACAUUUUGAGGUUGGGAUUUUGAGCAUCAUUAUGCAAAAGACAAAAAAACAAAACACACCAUCAAAUUCUAGUUCACGUUUUGAACCUACCAGUAAAAGAAUUAAAUGGUUAAAAAAAAUUGUGCAACAUCCCAACACCUGUAAAUCCAAAUGGAUCUGGCUGUGCUCUGUGGACAUAUAUUUUUAUGUUUAAGUUUAUCACCUUAUAAGAGAACCUCAAGUUAUAAGAGCUAAUGUUAUAAGGUCUUAUAACAUUAGUUAAUGUUGUAAAAGCCACAAUAAAAAAAAGUUGAAGAGCAUAUUUUUAGAGGAGGAAAGCAGACAUAAGCUCACAUAAUCCAGUUAUCAUAGUUACAAAAUUAAAAAUAAAACAAAAUAAGGAAAAUAAUUCCUUAUC